UGCAGGCCUGAGGCAUUCUGGGAAGUUGUAUAGGAGACAAGAAGCAUCCUGGGAACAGUGGUGAGAAGGAAAUGGCAGAUGGCUGGUGCAACAAGGUGGCAGUGGCCAGGUCUAAGAUUCCCUGAGGAACCGUCUGAAGAGGUCAGGCAUGUUUAGUCUGAGCACCUGAGGGUGUGAAAACUAAGGCUUGGGAAGACUGAACAACCUAUUUGAGGUCCUGAAGCUGGUGAGUGGUAGAGCUGGCAUGUGAACCUGGGAUGGUCUGACUCCUACCCUAUUAGUCUCAACAUGCAAGACACACUGUCCUAAACUUUCUAGGGCAUAGAAACCCGCCAAGGAGCUGGUGGGGGAGACAGACAAACAGCCAAAAUAACUAUGCUGAGCAAAAUACUUAUGUGAGUCAUAUGUCUGUCUGGGAGGCAGACCUGCCACUUACUGCUGAACCCAGGAAGCUGUCUGAAAAUUAACUUCAAGGGAAACAAAUCUUUAGAAGAAAUUACAAAUAAAAUAACUUUGUUUCUCAAAA